rnacentral:rRNA from 1 species
AGCGAACGCUGGCGGCAGGCCUAACACAUGCAAGUCGAACGAACCUUUCGGGGUUAGUGGCGGACGGGUGAGUAACACGUGGGAACGUGCCUUUAGGUUCGGAAUAACUCAGGGAAACUUGUGCUAAUACCGAAUGUGCCCUUCGGGGGAAAGAUUUAUCGCCUUUAGAGCGGCCCGCGUCUGAUUAGCUAGUUGGUUGAGGUAAUGGCUCACCAAGGCGACGAUCAGUAGCUGGUCUGAGGGGAUGAUCAGCCACAUUGGGACUGAGACACGGCCCAAACUCCUACGGGAGGCAGCAGUGGGGAAUCUUGCGAAAUGGGCGAAAGCCUGACGCAGCCAUGCCGCGUGAAUGAUGAAGGUAUUAGGAUUGUAAAAUUCUUUCACCGGGGACGAUAAUGACGGUACCCGGAGAAGAAGCCCCGGCUAACUUCGUG